GCGCCCGUAGCUCAGUGGAUAGAGCGCCAGCCUCCGGAGCUGGAAGCCGCUGGUUCGAUCCCAGCCGGGCGUACCA
rnacentral:tRNA from 2 species